AAUUAAAAGUGUCGGUUUCU
rnacentral:miRNA from 1 species